rnacentral:lncRNA from 1 species
UCUCCCCGCACCAUCGGGCCCCAACCCUCCCUUCGCUGGUUCUACGCAGGCGGUACCGGCGAGGCAGCCGCUCGUUUUAGGGCUUUCGCACGGACCCGGACAGGAUCGCUCGGGGCCGAGCUGCCCGCAGCGCGCAGGCGGCAGCGCCGGCCAGGGCUGCGCGUCCUCACGGGCCCCCGCACGCCCACAGCGGGGCCGGGCCGGCACACAGCCACUGCGUGUCUUCACCGUCCCCACACACCCACAGCGUGUCCUCACGGCCUCCCUCACGGCCUCCCACACGCCCACAGCGGGGCCGGGCCGGCACACAGCCACUGCGUGUCUUCACCGUCCCCACACACCCCGGGCCGGCACACAGACACUGCGUGUCUUCACCGUCCCCACACACCCACAGCGUGUCCUCACGGCCUCCCACACGCCCACAGCGGGGCCGGGCCGGCACACAGCCACUGCGUGUCUUCACCGUCCCCACACACCCACAGCGUGUCCUCACGGCCUCCCACACGCCCACAGCGGGGCCGGGCCGGCACACAGCCACUGCGUGUCUUCACCGUCCCCACACACCCACAGCGUGUCCUCACGGCCUCCCACACGCCCACAGCGGGGCCGGGCCGGCACACAGCCACUGCGUGUCUUCACCGUCCCCACACACCCACAGCGUGUCCUCACGGCCUCCCACACGCCCACAGCGGGGCCGGGCCGGCACACAGCCACUGCGUGUCUUCACCGUCCCCACACACCCACAGCGUGUCCUCACGGCCUCCCACACGCCCACAGCGGGGCCGGGCCGGCACACAGCCACUGCGUGUCUUCACCGUCCCCACACACCCACAGCGUGUCCUCACGGCCUCCCACACGCCCACAGCGGGGCCGGGCCGGCACACAGCCACUGCGUGUCUUCACCGUCCCCACACACCCACAGCGUGUCCUCACGGCCUCCCACACGCCCACAGCGGGGCCGGGCCGGCACACAGCCACUGCGUGUCUUCACCGUCCCCACACACCCACAGCGUGUCCUCACGGCCUCCCACACGCCCACAGCGGGGCCGGGCCGGCACACAGCCACUGCGUGUCUUCACCGUCCCCACACACCCACAGCGUGUCCUCACGGCCUCCCACACGCCCACAGCGGGGCCGGGCCGGCACACAGCCACUGCGUGUCUUCACCGUCCCCACACACCCACAGCGUGUCCUCACGGCCUCCCACACGCCCACAGCGGGGCCGGGCCGGCACACAGCCACUGCGUGUCUUCACCGUCCCCACACACCCACAGCGUGUCCUCACGGCCUCCCACACGCCCACAGCGGGGCCGGGCCGGCACACAGCCACUGCGUGUCUUCACCGUCCCCACACACCCACAGCGUGUCCUCACGGCCUCCCACACGCCCACAGCGGGGCCGGGCCGGCACACAGCCACUGCGUGUCUUCACCGUCCCCACACACCCACAGCGUGUCCUCACGGCCUCCCACACGCCCACAGCGGGGCCGGGCCGGCACACAGCCACUGCGUGUCUUCACCGUCCCCACACACCCACAGCGUGUCCUCACGGCCUCCCACACGCCCACAGCGGGGCCGGGCCGGCACACAGCCACUGCGUGUCUUCACCGUCCCCACACACCCACAGCGUGUCCUCACGGCCUCCCACACGCCCACAGCGGGGCCGGGCCGGCACACAGCCACUGCGUGUCUUCACCGUCCCCACACACCCACAGCGUGUCCUCACGGCCUCCCACACGCCCACAGCGGGGCCGGGUGCCUCCUCCGGGGCAGCUGGGGGUGGGAAUCGCCGCGGGGAGGGCGGCGAAGCGGUGCUCAGCUAUCCCUUAAAACAGCCCCAGCCCGCCCUUGUGUACAGCCAGCACUGCGCCUGGGCCGGGCUGCAGGGGGGGCGAAGUUAAGGGAGGUAUUUUUAGAAAGCACGAAAUGUGCUUUUUCAAAGCGGCCUUGCUCGGUAGAUCGUUUCUAG